AGAACGAACGCUGGCGGCAUGCCUAACACAUGCAAGUCGAACGAGACCUUCGGGUCUAGUGGCGCACGGGUGCGUAACGCGUGGGAAUCUGCCCUUGGGUUCGGAAUAACAGUUGGAAACGACUGCUAAUACCGGAUGAUGACGUAAGUCCAAAGAUUUAUCGCCCAGGGAUGAGCCCGCGUAGGAUUAGCUAGUUGGUGAGGUAAAGGCUCACCAAGGCGACGAUCCUUAGCUGGUCUGAGAGGAUGAUCAGCCACACUGGGACUGAGACACGGCCCAGACUCCACGGGAGGCAGCAGUAGGGGAAUAUUGGACAAGUGGGCGCAAGGCCUGAUCCAGACAAUGACCGCGUGAGUGAAUGAAGGCCGUUUAGGGUGUAAAACGGUCUUACGUUUUACCCGGGAUGGUAAUAAAGUUGAACAGGUAACCGGAGUAAAAGUAACGACC
rnacentral:rRNA from 1 species